CGCGAAAACUCUACAAUGCACGCAAGUGUGAUAGGGCAACCCCUCGUGCUCAACUAACGUUGGGCUUUUAUUAUGUGUAAUGUGCAUAAUGAAUAAGUGGUGGGCAAGACCGGUGCCAGCAGCCGCGGUAAUACCGGCGCCACGAGUGGAGUUCACUAUUAUUGGGUCUAAAGUGUCCGUAGCUGGUUUAUUAAGUCUCUUGUGAAAUUUCUGUUGCUUAACUCAGGAAAACUGCAAGAGAUACUGGUAAACUCGAGACCGGAAGAGGUAACAAGUAUUGUUGGGUAGACGGUAAAAUGCUAAUAACCCCUUACAAGACUAACUAAGGCGAAGGCAUGUUACUUGGAC
rnacentral:rRNA from 1 species